CCCAUCAGGCCUGGGGUGGCACGUACACCUGUGCUAUCUGCUACCAGCUGCCUCCUGCCCUGCCCCUUCCUAGGCAAAGGCCAGAAAACGGGGUCCUGACCCUCACCCCCAUUCCCUAGGGAGCAGCAGGAAAAUUCUUUCCGAGUGGAAUGGAGUGAUGAUAGUCCUCAGAAAGAGGACUCUGAGGAGCGUGGACUCAGUUCUCCUGGGCUAGACCUGUGCCCCUCCUCCUCUCACUGCUCCAGCAAGAUAAGUAUUUCCUACCUUGAGCCACACCCGGCCUGGUGCGCCCGAGGCCCAGACACCAGGCCCAGGUGAGAGGGCACUCCAGCAGGUCUCAGCCCAGACCCAAGCCAGGCUGGGCACUUGGCAGCUGGGAAGGGGGGCCAGCCUCCUGCAUCGAGUAGGAACAGCUCACUCUCUCGGGGUGGGGCCACCCACCACAUUCCUAGCCAGGGUGAUGAGGGAGGAGCCCUUACCUGGCCCUGUUCUGUGAGGGGCAGGUCGAAUGGGGAGCUAUCUACCCAGCCCAACUGGCCCUCCUCCCCAUGCUCCUCCUUGGUGGAGAGGCCACCUCCCUUUCUUUCCUAGAGACCCGCCUCUCCGGCUCCCUCCUCUCCAGGCCAUUCUCAGCUCCCACCUGACUCUGGCAAUGUUCUGGGAAAGGGAAGCCUUGAGCUACCCAGAGUCCUCCAAAGAUGAGGCCAGCCCAUCUUUAUCCUCUGGGCCGUAACCGACAUCCUCCAGCCAGCUCUGGGCAGCCUUGGGGCCAGCAUGGCCAUGCUUGCUUCCCCUCCCCAGGUCGUUUCAAAGAGUAGUCCUUGCGACCGGUCCACAAGCAAGCCCUGAACUCAUCUGCAGGGGCAGCAGAGGCGAGGGCUCAAGCCCGGCCUGGGAGCUAGAUAUGUGUUCUCAUCCUGCCUAGAGCCAGCUGACUCCGUGAGUCUGUCCCUUCCGGGCCUCAAUUCUGCAUGUGCCAAAGGUGAGGAAGGGGCCCUUCCGGCCCGUCCCAUAGCCCACCAUGCUAUGGGCCGCGGCUAGCGCCCGGACGGAGGACCGCCUGGAAGUCCUCCUCUGCCACGACCACCUUCUCACACCCAGCAGCGACCCCAGAGCCCGCCUGAGCAUCCAUCUCCCUCGGGCCAGCCGCGGCCGGCCCCCACCUCUCCCAGGUGGAGGAGCUGCAGAAACGGACCUGCUGCUGCCGGGUGGCGCCUCGACCUGAGUGCUCAGGUACAGACAUGGAAGGCCGGGGUCUCAAGGAAAUGGGCUGAGGGUCUGCGUACACUUUGGAAAAAAAGACUCAAGUAGUUUGAGAGUCUACUGGACAAAAGUUUAAGAGCAUCUGAAUUCCUCUUACAGGUUUUGAAAGUGGGGCAGGUAACUUCCCCAGGGGCGGGGCCUACAGAGACGCAGGGCUCUGCCCCAUUCCCUAGGCCAGGCCCGCCCACUGUCCCCAGCACCGGACACACAUGCCCAGGCCCUAGGCAGCCUCAGGGUGGGCUCUGCAUCAAAGAAGCCACAGCCCUCUGGGGGGCUGGGCCCAGGUCAACACCAGCAGGGGCUGGACAAGGAGACCACCUCCCUCCAGCCCUGCCAGCUCAGCCGCAGAUGCUCAGCUCAUUCUCACUGGCAGCAUGAAGCCCUGGGGCCUCCCAGACCUCACGGCCUCCUCUCAGCGUCCCCAGCUCAUCUUGUCUCUGCCGUAGGAACUAAUAGAGAAUCUGUUCUCAUCUCACCAGGGCCUGCGCUCCUGGGCACACACAGGACAGCAGACACCUGCCCCUGCGCUCAGAGCCGGCCUCUGCUCGGGGCCCCCAGGACCAGCAGAGUCACCUUUGUUGCCCUAUACACCCAAGGCAGCGGCUAGCUGGGAAGCCACUGGUCACCUGAUAAUCAGAGCCACUUAUCAAACACGACAGGCCCCACUCUGAGCACUUUACACAUAUUGACCCAAUCAGCCCUCACGACAACCCUUUGAGAAAAGCACUGUUAAUCUACCCAUUUUACAGAUGAGGAAUCUGAGCCACAGACACCAAGUAACUUGCCUAAGGUCACUAGCUAGUAGGCAGCUGAAGCUGGCAUUCCAAUCCAGGCUGUCUGGCUGGCCCAGGCGCUUGAGCCUCCCUGGCCUGGUGAGAUUUCUGCCUACAUAGGAGCCCAAAGUUCAUCUUGCAGGCAGCCCCCACCUAUCUUCCUCUCCUUCCUCCUGGGUACUCACACCCGGGCGGCCCAGCCUUGCCCUUCCUAGCAGAGCCCCUCCUUCCAAAAAGACCCCCCGCCUCAGUGGUUCCUACUCACCCACCUCCCAAACAAACUCCUGCCCCCAACUCCCACUCUCCCAGCCCUGGAUGAGUCCAAGGGGCUGACACAGGUUCUGGAGCUUACAAAGGAGAAAGCAGGCAAAGGGGAGCUCCCUGGGGCUGAUGGGCCCUCGGCACACCUCACAUUCGUGCCAUGUAGACAGAGCCACAGAGGGCCAGGCCAGCCUGCCGCUCAGGGAGGAGAGGAUGAGCAUGUGAGACCACCUCCCGACCUGAAGAUCCUCUUCUUCCCUGAGAGACCACAAGCUCCCUGAGCCCUCCAGGAACCCAGGAACGUGUGAUGGAGGAAUUCCCUACUCCAAGACCUGCCCUCCCCACCUGCCCUGCAGGGUCUCCACCGCCCGGCUUCUGCCCACAUCCGGCGGUGGAGGCCCGAGCACUGCCCCAGCCCACUCGCAGAAGGACCCAGGCAGGGCAACCACCUGAGCUCUCUGGGCACAGGACUGGCCCAGAUGCGGCCGGCUCAACCGCACAAUUUUCCUGUUAAGCAGCACUCCGUGUUCCCAGCCCCACUGUUCUCCUGCAUCGCAGAGCGACUGAGAAUGGGAGUCAGAAGCUCAGCAGUGGGGUCUUAGACUUUCAUCUGAAUUCCACUUUCAUCUGCCUUCAGUCCGAUGACUCGCUGCCCCAGCCAGCCCAUCAGCUCUCAGGCCUAGGCCCCCAGGCGACGCCAUCACUGCGAAACAGUGUCAGGUGACCCUGCUGACCACUGGGGGCCCACAGAGGAUGAGACGGAAGGAGCUCCAUGGUGGACGAGGCCCUCCCCGUGCUGGGCUGCAGGGCCCUCAGCUGCCAGAUGAGAAGGGCUAGGAGGGCUCUGAGCCGUCCGCGGAGCCACUGUCCUCUGGGAACUUACAACACCAGAGCCAUGAGACCCCCGGGAGGACCCCUCCCUGGAGAGCAAGGAGAGCCAGGCCAGGGUCAGUCAGCAGUAGCUCUGCGCGGCCAGUCUCAGGGCCGCCAGGCACGGCCAGUGCACGACACGCAGUGGCAGAGGUGGAAGUCCCUGGUACCCUGUCUGCAAAUGCCCACGCGGCCCAGGCAAACAGGUCUCACGCUCUCCUCCCUGGGCUUUCUGUGCCCCCUCCUCACCCCCCAGCCUGCCCUGCUCACUCACGCCCACCACGUUCCUGAAGUCUUUGACCUUGGUGUCCAACCCCUACUCCAAGCGCGCCGGGCCCCAACCGUGCCGAGCUGGCACAACGCGAGGCUGGGGCCCGGGGAAGCCCACUGGCUCUGGGGGUCAGUGCUGAUGGUGGGACAACCCCAGAGGAGGCUGAGCUGGUUGGUGGGGAAGGAGGAAGCUGAGAGCAACACGCAGCCAGGCUCAUCGGGUUUAAAGACAGGAGAGAGAGCAAAUAUUCAACUAUAUAAAAAUGAAAAGUCCUGAACGAGAAAAAACGGUAAAAACCCUCAGAGGAAUACAAUUAAAGGGAAAUCAACAUCUGGGGGAAAAAAACAUAACUAUGUCAAUGGGUUACUAUUAAUACAUACAAAGCUCACAGACAUUGCUUAAGAAAACAAACACAAAAUCUGGACAAGAGUAAAGAUAGUACAAAUAGCCAAUACACAUGGGAACCACUCAUGCUCCUUUGGUCUUCCAAGAAAUAGAAAUUUAAAAUGAAAUCUACUUCUCACCGAAGAAAGCCCUAAGAGCUGGCUUCUGUGUUAGGGAGGCCCCUGUGGCAGCAAGCGUGCAUGUGGGGAGUGGGUCCUCUGGUCCUGCUGUCGGAGCCAUCACCGCUUCACUCUCAUCUGGCUGGACAGCAGCUCAGCCCAGCGCACAAAGGGGAAAAGGGCCCUUUGCCCCUCAUGCUAAUGUCGCAGGGGCCCCUACAGAGACCAUCUGACACAGAGGGAAAGGUUUAGGCCCAAAGAAGUCCAGCACUUCCAAAAAAGUGAAGCAACCCCAAGUAUCCCACGACAUGGAAAUGAGGAAGUAAAGCAUUGCGUCUCUAGAAAGUGGAAUAUCGUGCAACCAUUUAAACUAAUGUCUGCAGAGACUCUCUUACCUAGUAUAUUGCAACACUUUGGGUCUUUUUUUUCCCUCCCCAAAGCCCCAGUGCAUGGUUGUAUAUCCUAGUUGCAAGUUGUUCUAGUUCUUCUACGUGAGCGGCAGCCAGAGCACGGCAACUGGUGGUGUGCGUGGUGUGGUUCCUUGCCCAGGAAUUGAACCUGGGCCGCUGAAGCGGUGAGCGCCAAACUUUAACCUCUAGGCCAUCAGGGCUGGCUCAUGAUUAUUUUUUUUAAAAGCAAGAUACAAAACUGUAUGUAACGUGGCCCCACGCAAAAAAUGCAGCAAGAAAGGACCACAUCAAAAUGAGGACAGGACCGACUGUGAUACUUAUGACCCACAGUGAGUAUUUUUCUGCCUCUUCUUGUUUUUCUGUGAAAUGCAUAUUUUCUGAAAUGUUUAUAGAGAGUAUAUUACUUUUGUAAAAAGAAAAAGAAACAGAAGACCGUUUGACCUAAGGAUGAGGGCUCGACGAGGGACAGAGAACUUGCUCGCCAGGAAAAUGAACGGGCUUGCCUCUCCUGGCUGAACCCUGGGUGCCCCAAAGCCUGCCACACCUGCAGCUGCUCUGGGUCACACAUUCUAACGAGGGCUCAGGAGAGCUUUGUGAUCCUGGCUCUGGGUGGGACACAAAAGAAGUGGACUAUGACUAAUAGAUACAAUGAAUGUACGCUUUGCCCAAAUUUUAAAAAUUUUCUUUUAGGGUGUAAAACCACAUUCACAACACACUCAGAAAACUGCUCUUGGCCCCCUGCCCUCCUCCCUUUCCUUCAUGAGGAAGCUUCCAGAAUGAGUGUCCACUCCCCACACCAUCUCAACAGGACUCGGCCUCCCGCCCUUCCCCAAACUGCCCCAGCCUGGGCAGCAAGGAGCAGCCGCACACCGAAUGUUCUUGUAGCCAGCCCCGGUCCAUGCGACGGUUCAGCUCACUCUUCUGUUAGCUUCAUAAUAUUUCACAGUAUGUAUGUUCCAGCCACCAUCCAUGUCCUACUGAGGGGCAUUCCAGUUGCUUCCAUUUUUUUUUUAAUCACUACAAGCAAGGCUGUAAUCAAUACCUGUGUACCUGUGAGUCUCUUUCCACGGGACACAUGCCCCAAAGUAGGACAGUUGGGUUCAAAGGCAUAUGAAUUUUUCAUGUUAAUGGAUAAUGCCUGAUUACUUUUCCAAACAGAAGGCAGCAAUUCAUACCCCCAUUCUCCCACCGGCCAUGUACGAGAACACCCAUUCUGCCACCCUCACCAGCAUCAGAAGCCAUCCGUGUACUUUCUGCCAUGCGGACAGGGACACAGGCCCUGCUCUUGUGAUCUGCAUUUCCCUGAUUACUCGGGGUUAAGCAUCUUUUCAUAGUCAUCGACAAUCUGCAUUUCCUCUUCUGUGAACCAUCUGCCUGGUCCUAUUCUUUGCCUGCUUGUCUUUGGGGUUUUAAAAAUCCUUUCCUUAAAACUGGCAGGAACUCUUUGUAUAACAGGCAUCUUAACUAUUUAUCUUGCAUAUGCACACAGCAAGCAAAUUCUCCUACUCUAUUCCACAGAAAUGUAAUUAAAUCUGUUAAUUUUGUAAUUGAUUAUAUUAUAACAUCUGAACAGUAACAGCAACAAAAAUCCACUAGACGGUAGUGAUGCUAAGAGGAGGCGGGGUGAGGAGAGGAUCUUCUUGAUAGAAGAAUACAGCUAAAUCCUGCAGAAGGCACGUCCGCUGAGAAGAUCACCCGUGGUAACUCCAGUGUACUGGAUUCAGGCCUGGAUCAUUGAGGCCCAGGAAAACGAGUGUGACACUGCUAUUACGUUAUGUGUAAGAACGGCCUGCCCCUAGGAAAUGCCCGCUGAAGUGCCUGGAGGGGGAACACCCACCCCGUCUACAACUACUGACCACAACCACUACCUAAAAGAGAGAGUGAGAGGGAGGGACCGGGGAAAGCAGCCGGAGUAAUCUUCAAGGUGGCCAUUUUUCAAAAUAAAAAGCCGGAGGGAAAUCUUGUCAGUCUUUUCCUCUAUAAAUUGUGGGUUUCCUAUCUGGCUUAAGAGGGUCCAUCUUAUCCCAAGAUUAGAUAAUAUUCUUCCAAUUUUCUCCUCUAUCUUAAAAAGCUUUAUCUUUCUCGUGGCACAGUCGCGCACGCUGCUCAGAGCCCAGGCUCUGAGACCAGGCUGCGUGGUUCAGGUCCCGCCUGUGCCGUUAGUAGCGAGCAAAUUCCUCUACAUCUCUGUGCCUCGGUUUCCUCCUUUGCAAGAUGCGGUAACACUUCCCCCGUGGGGCUGUCCUGGGAAUUACAAGCAAGCACAGGCAGCAGGGCCUGGCCCGCAAUGAGCACGAACAGAAGCUAAUCUCG